rnacentral:rRNA from 1 species
AGAGUUUGAUCCUGGCUCAGGAUGAACGCUAGCGGCAGGCCUAAUACAUGCAAGUCGAACGGUGAUAGCAAUAUCAUAGUGGCGCACGGGUGCGUAACACGUAUGCAACCUACCUUAUACUGAGGGAUAGCCUUUCGAAAGGGAGAUUAAUACCUCAUAACACAUUGAACUGGCAUCAGUUUAUUGUUAAAGAUUUAUUGGUAUAAGAUGGGCAUGCGUCCAAUUAGUUAGCUGGCGAGGUAACGGCUCACCAAGACGAUGACUGGUAGGGGAACUGAGAGGUUAAUCCCCCACACUGGCACUGAGAUACGGGCCAGACUCCUACGGGAGGCAGCAGUAGGGAAUAUUGGGCAAUGGAGGCAACUCUGACCCAGCCAUGCCGCGUGCAGGAAGAAGGCGUUAUGCGUUGUAAACUGCUUUUAUAUAGGAAGAAAUAGACCUUGCGAGGUAAGUUGACGGUACUAUAUGAAUAAGCACCGGCUAACUCCGUGCCAGCAGCCGCGGUAAUACGGAGGGUGCAAGCGUUGUCCGGAUUUAUUGGGUUUAAAGGGUGCGUANGCGGUUUAUUAAGUCAGUGGUGAAAGACGGUCGCUCAACGAUUGCAGUGCCAUUGAUACUGGUAG